CGAGGCCGGCAAGACCAAGUACACCCCGGUGGACGGCAUUCCCGAACUGAAGGAGGCGAUCAUCGCCAAGUUUCAGCGCGAGAACGGCCUGACCUACAAGCCGAACCAAAUCACGGUCGGUACCGGCGGCAAGCAGGGGCUGUACAACGCGCUGAUGGCGACGCUCAAUCCGGGCGAUGAGGUCAUCAUCCCCGCACCGUACUGGGUGAGCUACCCGGAAAUGGUCGCGCUCGCCGGUGGCGAAUCCGUGCCGGUGGUCUGCGCCGCUGAAUUUAAUUUCA
rnacentral:misc_RNA from 1 species